GUGGCGAACGGGUGAGUAACACGUGGGUGAUCUGCCCUGCACUCUGGGAUAAGCCUGGGAAACUGGGUCUAAUACCGGAUAUGAGCUCCUGUCGCAUGGCGGGGGUUGGAAAGGUUUACUGGUGCAGGAUGGGCCCGCGGCCUAUCAGCUUGUUGGUGGGGUAAUGGCCUACCAAGGCGACGACGGGUAGCCGGCCUGAGAGGGCGACCGGCCACACUGGGACUGAGACACGGCCCAGACUCCUACGGGAGGCAGCAGUGGGGAAUAUUGCACAAUGGGCGAAAGCCUGAUGCAGCGACGCCGCGUGAGGGAUGACGGCCUUCGGGUUGUAAACCUCUUUCAGCAGGGACGAAGCGAGAGUGACGGUACCUGCAGAAGAAGCACCGGCCAACUACGUGCCAGCAGCCGCGGUAAUACGUAGGGUGCGAGCGUUGUCCGGAAUUACUGGGCGUAAAGAGCUCGUAGGCGGUUUGUCGCGUCGUCCGUGAAAACUUGGGGCUCAACCCCAAGCUUGCGGGCGAUACGGGCAGACUUGAGUACUGCAGGGGAGACUGGAAUUCCUGGUGUAGCGGUGAAAUGCGCAGAUAUCAGGAGGAACACCGGUGGCGAAGGCGGGUCUCUGGGCAGUAACUGACGCUGAGGAGCGAAAGCGUGGGUAGCGAACAGGAUUAGAUACCCUG
rnacentral:rRNA from 2 species